rnacentral:snRNA from 1 species
ACUGCUUCCUGGCCUUUUGGUUAAGGUCAAGUGUAGUAUCUGUUCUUAUCAGUUUAAUAUCUAAUACAUCCUCUAUCUGUGGACAAUAUAUUAAGUAGAUUUUUAGAGCAGGGAGAUGGAAUAGGAGCUUGCUCCGUCCACUCCAUGCACUGACUUGGUAUUACAGUACUUCUGGGAAUGAUGUACCCCUC